UCUCAGAGAAGUCCAUGCCUCUAAUACUCUUGCAUCAUAGCCCCUGAUGCAGCCCUUCCUUCCUUCCUUCCUUCCUUCCUUCCUUCCUUCCUUCCUUAGCAGACAUUUGUUGGAUGCCAACAAUGUGCAAAGCACGGUGCAAGGAAUCCCGUGGUGAACAAGGCACUACCCUUAUCCUUAAGCAUUCCACAUCCUUGGGGUGGAAGGAAACAAGAAAACAAGCAAUCAGAAGAACAUGACGUGCCUGCGGUUGACUUCAGGGGACUGAAAGAGCAGAUAAGGGGACCACGCUCACCUCACAGCAUGGCGGAACUGCAUUUCAAGUGUAGCUGACAGCUUUAUCGAGGUCUAAUCCACUGAUAUGCAAUGAACUGCGCAUAUUUAGAGAGUGCAAUUCCAUACGUUUUGACGGAGACACACACCUAGGAAACCUGCACCAUCAUCAAGGUAACAA